UGUGGAUUUCCUUAAGAAACUUACGGCUC
rnacentral:piRNA from 1 species